AACCUUUGCAAUGCGCGUAAGCGUGACAAGGGAACUCUGAGUGGCGGAAACUUAGUUUCCGUCUUUUGCCGAGUUUAAAUCGCUCGGAGAAUAAGGGUGUGGGCAAGACUGGUGGCAGCCGCCGCGGUAAAACCAGCGCCUCGAGUGGUAUCCACGAAUACUGGGCCUAAAGCGUCCGUAGCAGGUUGUGUAAGUCUACUGUGAAAUAUUGGGGCUUAACCCCAAUGCGCGCAGUGGAUACUGUACGACUUGGGAAUGGGGGAGGUCAGGGGUACUUCUAGGGUAGGGGUAAAAUCCGUUGAGCCUAGAAGGACCACCAGUGGCGAAGGCGCCUGACCAAAACAUGUCCGACUGUGAGGGACGAAAGCUGGGGGAGCGAACGGGAUUAGAUACCCCGGUAGUCCCAGCUGUAAAUGAUGCAGACUGUGUUGUUUCCAUGCAUUAAUGCAUGGAAGUGACGUAGCGUAGGUGUUAAGUCUGCCGCCUGGGGAGUACGACCGCAAGGUUGAAACUUAAAGGAAUUGG
rnacentral:rRNA from 1 species